CUCCCUAAAUAUUUGUGGAAUGAAGGGGCACGCCUUGGCUUUGCAGGGUAUGUUCCCGGCCCACAGGGGGCUCUCCAUGGAUCUGAGGAGACUGGCAGGGCAGGAUCGGAAUCGGCACCCUGGAGAAGCUGUCGUUGGAGACGGCCUUGGCGAGACAGUGUGUUGCAGCUCCAGCUCUGUCCGCUGGGUUCAGCCCCCUCACCUUACCUCAGUCACUAACCUCUGUGCGCUCAGCGUUCUCAGCUGUUAAGUGGACGUAACACAGGUUGAGCAUCCUUUAUCCAAAAUGCUUGGGACCAGAAGUGUUUCCAGUGUUGGAUGUUUUCACAUUUGGGAACAUUUGCAGAUACAUAAUGAAGUAGCUUGUGGAUGGACCCAAGUCUAAAGAUGGAACGCAUUUGUUUUAUAUACUCCUUGUACACAUACCUGAAGGCAAUUUUACAUGGCAUUUCAAUAAUUUUGUGCAUAAAACAAAGUUUGUGUGAAGUA
rnacentral:lncRNA from 10 species